rnacentral:rRNA from 1 species
UACGAACGCUGGCGGCGUGCUUAACACAUGCAAGUCGAACGAAAAGGCCCUGCUUUUGUGGGGUGCUCGAGUGGCGAACGGGUGAGUAACACGUGAGUAACAUGCCCUUGACUUUGGGAUAACUUCAGGAAACUGGGGCUCAUACCGGAUAGGAGCUCCUGCUGCAUGGUGGGGGUUGGAAAGUUUCGGCGGUUGGGGAUGGACUCGCGGCUUAUCAGCUUGUUGGUGGGGUAGUGGCUUACCAAGGCUUUGACGGGUAGCCGGCCUGAGAGGGUGACCGGCCACAUUGGGACUGAGAUACGGCCCAGACUCCUACGGGAGGCAGCAGUGGGGAAUAUUGCACAAUGGGCGGAAGCCUGAUGCAGCAACGCCGCGUGCGGGAUGACGGCCUUCGGGUUGUAAACCGCUUUCGCCUGUGACGAAGCGUGAGUGACGGUAAUGGGUAAAGAAGCACCGGCUAACUACGUG